ensembl:lncRNA
GGAAAAAGGACGCCAGUUGUUGUCAGUCAUGUUGUUGUUGGAUGUGUCUUUACUUUAAAAAAGGCCUGUCACCACAGAGAAGCCAAAAGAUGAUGGUUUCUCCGUUAUAUUUACUAGUUGGCAUUAAGUAGGUAGUUGUUGUAGGUCUUGGUGUCAUGACAUUAAAGGUUUAUUAACGCUAAACAAAGCUUGUUUAGCUUUUAGCUCUUCUGAAUAGCCACCCACAUCUAAUAAAGAGGUCUGCAGGUCUUGCAUUAGCUGAUUGGUGAAGCAGUUUAGUGUAUGAAAAGCUGAGAGAGAGAUUAAUGACGGGGUAUCACCUUCCUUUACUGACUCUCAACAGACUGACAACUUACAAGAGCUGACUGAUGAUCGGGGCUUUCAAGUUGGUGUUAAAUGGUUCAUCUAUAGCGUUUAUGUUCGGGAGUUAAAGUGGGCUGGAAGCUGCUGGUGACCGUAGGACGUGCUUGCAGUACUUUAGCAUCUAGCUAGCUCUACUGAAGAGGAGGGAGCAUGAAGCUAGUAACAUUUUUUAAGUGGCAGGGAGAGAAAAGAGUGAGACAGAUGUAGGAAGACAGACACACAGGGGAGGAAGUAAAGCGAUUAUAUAUAAAGCAUGUUUUUGUCCUGUCUCCCUUCCCUAAACACCAACCAAUCAUGGCAGAUAGCCGCUCCUACUUGAUGCUGUUUCUGCUGGAGUUUUCUUCUUGUUAAAACACUACGCUGUCGUGAAGUGCUUGCUCAGAGGGUCAUCUGAUUGUUGGGGUUUUCUCUGUAUUGUUGUAGUGUCUUUAUCUUACAAUAUAAAUCACUUUGAGGGACUAUUAUUGUGAUUGGUGCUAUAUAAAUAAAACUGAAUAAAAUUGAAUUGCUUUUUCAGCUCCAGCACUCCACUAAUGUUAAACAAUAUCUGCUUUUCCCUUUGUUUAUGUAUCAGACCUAUUCUCUCUUCAAAGACUGAUGAACCUAAUCAUAUAUAUGUUAAGGGCAGAGCAGGAGCCCUGUGCUCAUUCAGAUGCUUGUAUUUGGAUGAAGAGAGUCGCAGAAUACCCAAGGGCUG